rnacentral:rRNA from 1 species
UUGCCGGCGACCGGCGGACGGGUGCGUAACGCGUAUGUAACCUACCUUUGACAGGGGGAUAACAUCGAGAAAUUGGUACUAAUACCCCAUAACAUCACCGGAGGCAUCUUCGGUGGUUGAAAACUCAGGUGGUCAGAGAUGGACAUGCGUUGUAUUAGCUAGUUGGUGAGGUAACGGCUCACCAAGGCGACGAUACAUAGGGGGACUGAGAGGUCAACCCCCCACAUUGGUACUGAGACACGGACCAAACUCCUACGGGAGGCAGCAG